AAAAAUUGGCAGUCUUCAACUGAAUCGUAUAACACCAUGAUGUAUAAAAGGUUUCGUUCUUUAUUUUUCCUGCUAAUUAUCUUUGCUGCAGUUGGAUGUUAUUGUGAAUUCAAGUCUGAUGGAAAUUUAGAAUCGUCUAAGCUAUUACGACACCUAACGAAACGCGCCAUCUUUCAUAAUGUGCCCAAUUGUAAAGUCUUACGAUAUGACGGAAAAUGUGGCUCUAGUGCAGGUUUGUUAAAUCGGCGAGGUAGUGUUGUGGCCAAACCUUACAUACCGAAAGCUGUCUUAUGAAGAUACGUAAGCUAUGGAUGAUGCCCGAUGUUGUUAACUGAUGUAUUGUAGUUACAUGUAAUAUGUUUAAAUAUAAUAAAAUUAAAAUUUAGGACGGGCAUAUGCUCCUCCAUCA